UGGGGAAUAUUGCACAAUGGAGGGAACUCUGAUGCAGCGACGCCGCGUGAGUGAUGAAGGACUUCGUUUCGUAAAACUCUGUUCUAUGGGAAGAAAAGGACUGUACCAUAGGAGAAAGCUCCGGCUAAAUACGUGCCAGCAGCCGCGGUAAUACGUAUGGAGCGAGCGUUGUCCGGAAUUAUUGGGCGUAAAGGGUGCGCAGGCGGCUUUACAAGUUGGAUGUUAAAUAUUGUGGCUCAACCACAAACGUGCAUCCAAAACUGCAAAGCUUGAAUUAAGGGGGGGUAAGUAGAAUUCCGGGUGUAGCGGUGGAAUGCGUAGAUAUCAGGAGGAAUACCGGUGACGAAGGCGACUUACUGGACUAAAAAUGACGCUCAGGCACGAAAGCGUGGGGAGCAAACAGG
rnacentral:rRNA from 1 species